UGGCUCAGAGGUUAAAGCGUCUGCCUCCAAUGCAGAAGACCCAGGUUUGAUCCCUGG
rnacentral:tRNA from 1 species